UUUGUUUUUUACAUUAUGUGUAUUUUACUCAAUUUUAAAUAUUCGAUAAAUGCACAAAAAUCCGCAGUACAGUAACAAUAGUAUAAACUGGCCGGGAGUCAAUACUGGAAGUUUCAUUAACUAUUCAUCAUUUCAUUCGCAACGAUCCAGUGUCUAAAAAUAUUUGAAGAAUCCAUGUACACUCCAUUUCACUUGCGAAACCGAUGGAACUCAAUACUUCCACGUUCCAAGUACCUACUAUCAGUUACUUCACGCCGGCAAAACUCUCUCGAUACAAAAAAAAAAAAAAAAAAAAGGAAAAGGACGAAGGAAUCCUGGUUCCACGAAUAUUCAUGUCUCGAAUUUUCCGAUCGACCUAUUACGGGGAAUUCGGUGGUCGAUCGACAGAAAUGAUCUGUUCGCAACCCUUUCUCGUAUUUUCACCCCCGCAGCUGACGAGCACGGGGAUACCACCUGACGGUUCGGCCAGGAACAGCUGUUCGCUCCCCUUCCAGCCACCCCCUCUCUCUCCCUCCUUGUCCACGGCUGUUGCACUCGAAAAAAUCGAAACGAUUUCGUCUGGAAAAAAAAAAGCAUCGGGCCGGCCUGAACACCCGGCAGGAUGUUCCCGGGGAUGAUUAGAGAUCGACGAAAUUAAGAGGGGACGAAUCAAACUUACGCUAGAAAUGACCAGAGACCUUUCGGACAGUUUGAGUUCAAUGGGACUGAUGUGCUAGAAUUCAUCGUUACUCGCAUCAUCUUCCUGCAACAAACAAACGUACAUAUUAAUGAAACUUUCAGAGAGAUUCAAUUAAAUCAUGGUACACAAUCAGCUAAUUAUUUCAAUCAGUUUACACGCACAUACAUACAAUUAACGGAAUGAUCAACGAAAGAUGAAUUAUUUUCCCCGCUGGAUCCCGUCAAGAUGAUGAAUAAUCGUACACGAUGCUUUAUCUCUUCGAGAUGCGCCCUGUUCCUCACCACAGAACGGAAUGUCCACGAACAAUUGCGUUCAUUUAUCUCGCAUCGAGCGACGAACACGUUGGUGGCUUCCCCUGGAAGAAGAUUAAACACGAGACCUGCAGAUUAUCACGUCCCGUAGCCGCAAUUAUUUGCAGAAGCAGCAUGAAAUCUCCCCGGAAGAACAAACGAAACAAGCG